rnacentral:rRNA from 1 species
UACACACCGCCCGUCACACCAUGGAGUGGGUUCCACCAGAAGUAGUUAGCCUAACCGCAAGGAGGCGACUACACGGUGAGAUUCAUGACUGGGGUG